rnacentral:lncRNA from 10 species
GGGUCUUGCUCUGUCAUCCAGGCUGGCGCGAUCUCGGCUCACUUUGACCUCUGCCUCCUGGGUUCAAGCGAUUCUCCUGUCACAGCCUCCUGAGCAGCUGGGAUUACAGGCAGGCACCACCAUGCUGAGCUAAUUUUUGUAUUUUUAGUAGAGACCAGGUUUCGCCAUGUUGCCCAGGCUACUCUCGAACUCCUGGCCUCAUGUGAUCCGCCCACCUCAGCCUCCCAAAGUGCUGGGAUUACAGGCGUGAGCCACUGCAACCAGCUGGAACAAUCUUGAUAUUAGGGUGAACAAGUGAUUUCAUAGCUUUCUCUGAAGGAGGAAACACUGGGAGCAUCCACCCGAGAAUCAACACUGUGGAUCAUUCUGGGGAGUUAAUAGUUUUGAGAUGUGUCCCAAGAUAAUUGUUAGCUUGAAUUACCACGUGGAUGGAACCAUGCUGAUCCUAAGAGCCAGGCCAAGCCUACUGCUGUUAGAAAACAUAUUUAGAAAUCACUUGGUUCUUCCUUGCCUGAACAUCAUCUAUUUAGUUAGCUUGUGUUGUUUAGAUGUGCUUCAGAUCUCAAAAAAAUAAAUUAUGUUAUUUGAAAG